rnacentral:misc_RNA from 1 species
GACCUUGGGGAUGGAGUGCGGAGGCAAGGGAGAACUGGGCGGGGUUUUACAACAAGGGCUCAUGUGCCAGUAUCAGUUGAGAAGGUUGGCAAUAUCAGAACAGCGAAACAGCUUAGAAGUGCUAGACUUAGUUUUGAUAAAAAUGAAAGCAAGACAGGUCGUCCACCAAGUAGAAAACUUUCUGACCGUAAAGCAUAUAAACGUCAAAAGCAUACAACAGUCAAUGCAGCAGCAGAUUUUCUUGUUGGCUCAGGGGAUGGGCAUGAAGAGCUUUUGGCUGCUGCAAGUGCUGUGAUUAACCCCGUUCAUGCAUUUUCCAGCUCAUUUUGGAGGCAAAUGGAUCCAUUCUUUGGUUUUAUAUCUGACUCAGACAUUGAUCACUUGAAGAAACAGGAAAUUAUUGAAUCUACUGUGGCAC